AGCAAUGAGCACACCCGACCCCCCCCCUACCGCGUGGUGUGAAGCCGCCCUAGGUAUGCAUGAAGGCAACGCCGGCGCCGUCACCCGAACACGUCCGCUGCCCCGAACCCUACACACCACCCGCUUUGCAGGUCGCCUCACAGCCGCUCACAUCAUGCCGGGCGCCACCUGGUGCAUCCGCUCCCUGAGGCGGCUCAGGCUUCCCUCCCACUGGUAGGCUGUGUGAGGGCCGGGCGGGAUAUGCUCGAGUCACGCUGACGCUCUGCCUAAUCAUGUGAGUGGCACCAACGUGCUCACUGGCUCGGGCGGCUUCGACACCACGCCAUCCAGGGCCUGGCUGCCGACAUCGGUAGCGACACACUGCGCCGACUUCCCCACCUCGAAGGUGCCUGGCCCUUGUCGCCACCGGAAGUGUCUCGGCAUGGACAGGGAUAGGGGGGCCGCCUAGUCGCCUCCCACUGCAUGGGGGACUGGACCCUGAGAUACCACCCACUCAGGUCUCCCUCCCGUUAUCACGGAAAUCGACGCGGCUACAAAAGGACAAGUACAGAGCGGAAAACAGAUGUGCAAGCUGCAUAUACGAUGGGAGUGGCAUGCCGUAGUGCUUUUGCGGCGCCCUGGUGAAAGACGUGUGUAUUCCGUGGAUGCUGCUCUGGACAGAUUGUAAACGAGGCAUUUAAGGGGGGUUACCUCCCCCUCCUCCUUUUUGCCCUCGUGUUAUGGGCGGCGUGCUUCUUAUGGGCGCGAGGCUCGGAGGAGGAGGGGGUGGAGGUGUCCCUGAUGGGGCACUGGAGCAUUGCGAUAUAAUGGUCUCGCCGUGGACCUGCAUGUGAAGGGGUGGUUUUGCGGGUGUGUCGGAGGUGUGAUUGGUGCUUGUGGUUUCCAUUUAUCGUGUGACGCUUUAGAACGUAAGAUUUUGUUUUUGUGUUUUUUUUUUUCACGGUUCUGCCCAUGUAUGCCAUCUGCGCUAGAACAAGCGAAGGAGCUAGUCUGCGGGACGCUGGCUAUUGCGUGUGUGUGCUUCUAGUGUUGUCUUUCAUCGGUUAAUAGGACCGCGACAACGCUGCAAGAGGAGGAAGGGAGGUAUCUCUUCGUUCCCAGAGCGGCGCUGUGCUUGCAUUUGCGUGAACACGGUGCAUGCCACCCCCUCGGAAAAAGACCGAUAUGAGCAAAACAUGGCAAAUUGAGAGCUAACCUCUUGAUCUGCUCUGCUUGGCCUCUUCCGAUCACUCACCGUCCUCCUGCGCUUACUUCUCAUUCAGCGCAGCUCGCACCCGCUAAUGAAGUCCGCCACGAUAACGACAGGUGAAAAUCCUACGAACUUCAGACGAAAGCAGCAAGAGAGAAGAACAAGAAAUGCGACUCUUUCCUCCAAAAAGUCAUGCACACGCACACAC
rnacentral:misc_RNA from 1 species